CAGAGGUGGCAAGCGUUGUUCGGAAUUACUGGGCGUAAAGGGCGAGUAGGCGCCUUCUAAGUCAGACGUGAAAUCCCCCGGCUUAACCUGGGAACUGCGUCUGAUACUGGGAGGCUUGAGUAUGGGAGAGGGAUGUAGAAUUCCAGGUGUAGCGGUGAAAUGCGUAGAUAUCUGGAGGAAUACCGGUGGCGAAGGCGGCAUCCUGGACCAUUACUGACGCUGAAUCGCGAAAGCUAGGGGAGCAAACGGGAUUAGAUACCCCGGUAGUCCUAGCCCUAAACGAUGAAUACUUGGUGUGGCGGGUAUCGAUCCCUGCCGUGCCGAAGCUAACGCAUUAAGUAUUCCGCCUGGGGAGUACGGUCGCAAGGCUG
rnacentral:rRNA from 1 species